UGGGGAAUAAUGGGCAAUGGGGGAAAGCCUGAUGGAGCAACGCCGCGUGAAUGAUGAAGGCCUUCGGGUUGUAAAAUUCUGUUAUAAGGGAAGAACGACUUUAGUAGGAAAUGGCUAGAGUGUGACGGUACCUUAUGAGAAAGCCACGGCUAACUACGUGCCAGCAGCCGCGGUAAUACGUAGGUGGCGAGCGUGAUCCGGAAUUAUUGGGCGUAAAGAGCGCGCAGGUGGUUGAUUAAGUCUGGUGUGAAAGCCCACGGCUUAACCGUGGAGGGUCAUUGGAAACUGGUCGAAUUGCGUGCAGAAGAGGGAAGUGGCAUUCCAUGUGUAGCGGUGAAAUGCGUAGAGAUAUGGCUGUACACCUGUGGCGAAGGCGGCUUCCUGGUAUGUAACUGACACUGAGGCGCGAAAGCCUGGGGAGCAAACGG
rnacentral:rRNA from 1 species